GGGUAUGCAGUUUUGUGACCUUAGCUUUGCAAAAGCUAAUGAGAAACUUAUAUGGUUUCCAUGCCCU
rnacentral:tRNA from 1 species